UCCAACCUUCCCUAUAGUAGAGAAUAGCCCGGCGAAAGUCGGAUUAAUGCUCUAUGUUCUUCUUUGAUGGCAUCUGACGAGAAGCAAAGGUUUACCGCUAUAGGAUGGGAUGCGUCUGAUUAGGUAGUCGGCGGGUAACGGCCCACCGAGCCAACGAUCAGUAGGGGUUCUGAGAGGAGGGUCCCCCACAUUGGUACUGAGACACGGACCAAACUCCUACGGGAGGCAGCAGUGAGGAAUAUUGGUCAAUGGGCGAGAGCCUGAACCAGCCAAGUAGCGUGCAAGGACGACUGCCCUAUGGGUUGUAAACUGCUUUUAUGCGGGAAUAAAGUCCACUACGUGUAGUGGUUUGUAUGUACCGCAUGAAUAAGGACCGGCUAAUUCCGUGCCAGCCGCUGC
rnacentral:rRNA from 1 species